GCGCUCGUAGCUCAGCUGGAUAGAGUACUUCCCUCCGAAGGAAGGGGUCAGUGGUUCAAAUCCACUCGAGCGCACCA
rnacentral:tRNA from 1 species